rnacentral:rRNA from 1 species
GAUCAUGGCUCAGAGCGAACGCUGGCGGCAUGCUUAACACAUGCAAGUCGCACGGUCAGCAAUGGCAGUGGCGGACGGGUGAGUAACACGUAGGAAUCUAUCCUGGGGUGGGGGACAACAGCGGGAAACUGCUGCUAAUACCGCAUGAUACCUGAGGGUCAAAGGCGCAAGUCGCCUUGGGAGGAGCCUGCGUCUGAUUAGCUAGUUGGUGGGGUAAAGGCCUACCAAGGCGACGAUCAGUAGCUGGUCUGGGAGGAUGAUCAGCCACAUUGGGACUGAGACACGGCCCAAACCCCUACGGGAGGCAGCAGUGGGGAAUAUUGGACAAUGGGGGAAACCCUGAUCCAGCCAAUGCCGCGUGUGUGAGGAAGGUCUUCGGAUUGUAAAGCACUUUUGGCAGGGACGAUGAUGACGGCACCUGCAGAAUAAGCCCCGGCUAACUUCGUGCCAGCCGCCGC